UAUAAAUUUCGUCAAAAUGUUCUCGCACAUUCAAUCGACGGUGUUCAUGAUUAAAAAUUCAAAUCAAUGUACCUCCUUAUUUAAAUAAUAAAAUCCCUCCCUCCCGCGGGUAAUUUAAAUAAACAAAAGAUUAAUGAGAAUUUAAUCUGGACAAAGCCGACGCUACUGAUAAUAAAUUCUUCGUUAUCUAGAGGGGAUCGAGUGAGUCAUUGAACGAGUAGAAAAAAAAAAGUGAGGAAAAAAAAUGGAGAGGAAGGAGGAAAAAAAAAAGAAUUUUUAAUUGCACAUCUUGUCCUCGGCGGGCCUCAAAGACGCGCCCAUUCACUUGGACUGACCAACUGGCCCAAUUUCGCAGCACCCGGCCGCUCCUUUCAGAUUGGUACGAUGCACUCGGCUCUGUGCAUACUGUUGCAGCUGUGGUGGUUAAAAACCCCUGGGUUCCCUCUCUCGUGGCUCCGAAAUGGAGAAUAAAGGAGGUGGUGAGACGAGGGACGAGGAGGGACCAUUUUUUUUUUCUCCUUCAAGUACAACACAUUACCUCUGACUAUAAAAAGCCCUUUAUUGCUGUGCGGGUUCGUAAAACGCCGACUGAACGGUGUCUGCGGUAUCGAAAUAACUUCAAAACUCGAUCAUGCACAAAAAAAAAACUGAUGGUCCCUUUAUUUCUCGUUGAUAAUUUUCGUGGUUGACUGCAAUCAGGUGAGUGGAAAAUUUCCGACGGAGAAAAUGACUUGAUUUACCCAAAAAAAAAAUUAAUAAAAACUCCUCCUUUGAAAUCGCAAUAAAUCUGAUAAUUGGACAUUGAUAAAUCCCCCAGAAUACCACGAGAUAUUGUUAUUAAAAUAAUACCCCUUUUGCUACUUCAACCUAUCCACCACAACGUCCAACAAGUGCAAAUCAUCACAGGAUAACACCAAUACCAUUAAUUCCCAUAUUCUCACUGGCAGCUCAUUCCACGAGAUUAACUCAAUUCCAGAUGUCAUUGAGCCGUCACUCGCAUCACUGACCAGACAAUUCCCUAUAACUAGGCUGGAAAAGGUAAACUUCAUGCACCGGUGAAUCAUUAACCCAACUCUGAACAAUAGUCGUCAAUGUUGUCCAGCAAUACAGUACUGUCAUCAGCAAUGAAACACGCAGGAGACAACAAUCCGCCUGAGAUAGCCGGGGGGGCCAUUCGGGUGGUAAUUCAUGUACAUUGCAAGUCACUGGUUAAAACGAUCGCUCAUACCUCCUCUUCUUCCCCACCAUAUCAACCCCCCUCCUCUGAGCCCCCUCACCACCCCCAUCAUUUAUUCCGACUAACGAGAUUUUCAACUACAGGCGUCUUGAUAACACACGUAGUCACAAAAUACAGAUAUGGGCUUUUAGCAAAGGAGGAGUGAAUGCGUUACAUCUAUCUGUGCACUUUGCUGAGUUCAAUGACUACCUUGUGCUGGGUAUGACUGUCCCUCCUAUCGGCGUGCACGAGGGGCGGAGGGGGAGGAGAGGAAAAAAAAAAGUGAUGGAAGAAAUAAAAAUUGAAGAAUAGGAGAAAAAGAAAGAGUCGCCUCGUGUAAACUAGGGAGGGUAGAGUUGGCCUAAUUCCAUCGGCGCCGAGAGUUCUCUCCCCCUGGCUGUGUGACGUCAGUGAUAUAACAGCUGGAACAAACAACGGGCACGAUUGUUUGUUCCCUUAGUCGUCGUGUCUUGAGCGGUGAACGUGUCGAUGGCCCCGGCAUGUUUUCUGGAUGUUUUUGCUUCCGGUCUUUUCGGAAUUUUACCCGUUAAUUUUUAGGGCCUCUCAAUGUUUAGUCAGACAUUGGUGAUUUGUGGAAAAUUUUUUUGGAAAUUUUCCUGGCGCUGUAACCGGAGCCUCAUCUGAUGGAGAAGAGGUUUAGCUCCACUGGCAUCGGCAACACGGAAGUAACCGACCCCGGUUUGAAUUUUUCGGCCCAGAAAAAGUCCUUCGCGUGGGUGUAGAGUCCUGAAUACCUCGAUAUUCCCCGGGUGACGGAGAAUUUGCACGGGUUUGUGGGCCGACUUGAUGCUGGUCUCUUGCCGACCAGAGUAAUCACGAGUCGAACACUUUUGCACAAUGGAGAGCAGAUAGCGGCGAAAGGGGGAUUGGAGACCAGGAUAAAAUAAACAACACUGGUGACGGAGAUAGAACUGGGGUAGAACAGGACAGAGAAUUGCCGGCUGAGUGGGUGGUAUUUACCGCACGAGAUGCCUUUUUCGUCCUCGUUCGGGAGACGAAAGAAAUUUUCCAUCGUGGGCGGCCUAGGUCAAAAACUACUCAUAUCAAGAUAGAUCGUACCGAGUGAUUCCCCCGUUUCCCAGUGAAGCCUUGAGGAGGAGGAUUAACGUGUUGACAUUAACGGUCGACAUGGGCAUUCGACUGGGUGAGCCGGAUGAGCCCUUGAAGAAUCCUCUUGUCUUCCGUGGGAAGCCUCAGCCACCCGCCAACCACCCCUGGGCCACCACUGCAUCGUAAAUCCCGGUGCCAUCCGGCCCCACAAACAACCGAAGAGGGAACAAAUGGAUGGGAAAAACGAGAGAAAAAAUAAUACCGAUGGGUUAGAGUCAAGCCCUCGCAAUCUCCUUUCCAGCUGUUUUGUUAUUUCUACAUUUAUCGAUAAUUAUGUACUGCUGAAUAUUUCUGCCUUAAAUUUACCAUUUACAGCCCCAACGUCAUUAUUUCUUACCCCUCCUCAACUACUGACAAAACAUAAUUCUGGAGAUGCCAUUUGAAAGACGUCAAUCUCAAAGAAUUUUCCUCUCUAAUCUGAUUACUUUUUCGCAAAAUAAUCCGGAAUGAUACGGUUUGCGUUUCGUUACUCACAUCAACUACUGCAAUUUUCCCCGUAGUUUUCCCUCAGCGUGGGAAGUCGAGGAUUCAUACUCCUCGAAUUGUCUGGACCGAGACAAUUUCAUGAGUACGAAGGCUCAUCACAGCGCUCUA